GGUUUGACAGCAACAACUGAUUCUUAAAAGUAAAAUAUAUAAAUGGAUUCACCAAUUUUAGAACUAAAUGGAUGAGGGGGGAUAUGACCUUUAUCGGGUCUCCAGGAUAGGUGUUUUUAAGUAGGAUUUCAGGGAUUGACCAUUUCUGGAUCUGGGAAUUCUUGUUUUGAAUUUUGGGAUGUCAGCAUUUCAUGUUUUAAGCCCUGGAUCAAGACCCUCCCCCCUCAUGGAUCCUUAAAGAUUUUGUCUAAUUUAACAGCAAUUAAAAAGGUCAAAAGUCAUAUUAGUGUUUUUUCAUUAAAUAAACAAUAUUUUAUCAGCAGUAUUGAAGUUUUCUACAUUUUUCAUUUUUGUUUUUU
rnacentral:lncRNA from 1 species